GAUGAACGCUAGCGGGAGGCUUAAUACAUGCAAGUCGAGGGGUAACAUGAGAGCUUGCUCUUGAUGACGACCGGCGCACGGGUGAGUAACGCGUACACAACCUACCUCUAAGUGGGGAAUAGCCUUUGGAAACGAAGAGUAAUACCCCAUAGCAUUAUUUCUUUUUAUGAUGAAAUAAUUAAAGCUCCGGCGCUUAGAGAUGGGUGUGCGUCCCAUUAGCUUGUUGGUAAGGUAACGGCUUACCAAGGCGACGAUGGGUAGGGGGCGUGAGAGCGUGACCCCCCCACACGGGUACUGAGACACGGACCCGACUCCUACGGGAGGCAGCAGUAAGGAAUAUUGGACAAUGGGCGAAAGCCUGAUCCAGCCAUCCCGCGUGCAGGAUGACGGCCCUAUGGGUUGUAAACUGCUUUUAGAUAGGAAGAAACCCCAUUCGUGAGUGGGGCUGACGGUACUAUCAGAAUAAGCACCGGCUAACUCCGUGCCAGCAGCCGCGGUAAAGUCGUACG
rnacentral:rRNA from 1 species